rnacentral:rRNA from 1 species
UGGGGAAUCUUGCACAAUGGGGGAAACCCUGAUGCAGCGACGCCGCGUGAGCGAUGAAGCCCUUCGGGGUGUAAAGCUCUUUCGGCAGGGACGAUAAUGACGGUACCUGAAGAAGAAGCUGCGGCUAACUACGUGCCAGCAGCCGCGGUAAUACGUAGGCAGCGAGCGUUGUUCGGAGUUACUGGGCGUAAAGCGUGCGUAGGCGGCGGCCCAAGUCUGGUGUGAAAUCUCCCGGCUUAACCGGGAGGGUGCGCCGGAAACUGGGUUGCUUGAGUGCCGGAGAGGCAGGCGGAAUUCCUGGUGUAGCGGUGGAAAUGCGUAGAUAUCAGGAGGAACACCCGUGGUGUAGACGGCCUGCUGGACGGCCACUGACGCUGAGGCACGAAAGCGUGGGGAGCAAACAGGAUUAGAUACCCUGGUAGUCCACGCCCUAAACGAUGCAUACUUGGUGUGGGCAGUUCAGUCUGUCCGUGCCGAAGCUAACGCGAUAAG